rnacentral:rRNA from 1 species
UAACCUACGGGGCGCAGCAGUGGGGAAUAUUGCACAAUGGGGGAAACCCUGAUGCAGCAACGCCGCGUGAGUGAAGAAGUAUUUCGGUAUGUAAAGCUCUAUUAGCAGGGAAGAAAAUGACAGUACCUGACUAAGAAGCCCCGGCUAACUACGUGCCAGCAGCCGCGGCAAUACGUAGGGGGCAAGCGUUAUCCGGAUUUACUGGGUGUAUAGGGAGCGUAGACGGCUGCGCAAGUCAG